rnacentral:rRNA from 1 species
AUUGAACGCUGGCGGCAGGCCUAACACAUGCAAGUCGAGCGGAUGAAGGGAGCUUGCUCCUGGAUUCAGCGGCGGCCGGGUGAGUAAUGCCUAGGAAUCUGCCUGGUCGUGGGGGAUAACGUCCGGAAACGGGCGCUAAUACCGCAUACGUCCUGAGGGAGAAAGUGGGGGAUCUUCGGACCUCACGCUAUCAGAUGAGCCUAGGUCGGAUUAGCUAGUUGGUGGGGUAAAGGCCUACCAAGGCGACGAUCCGUAACUGGUCUGAGAGGAUGAUCAGUCACACUGGAACUGAGACACGGUCCAGACUCCUACGGGAGGCAGCAGUGGGGAAUAUUGGACAAUGGGCGAAAGCCUGAUCCAGCCAUGCCGCGUGUGUGAAGAAGGUCUUCGGAUUGUAAAGCACUUUAAGUUGGGAGGAAGGGCAGUAAGUUAAUACCUUGCUGUUUUGACGUUACCAACAGAAUAAGCACCGGCUAACUUCGUG